rnacentral:rRNA from 1 species
CUUCUGAGUUUGUGGGCUUUGCCCACUGUCUCUUACCCAUGUCUUUUGAGUACUUACGUUUCCUCGGUGGGCUCGCCCGCCGGUUGGACAAUUUAAACCAUUUGCAGUUGCAAUCAGCGUCUGAAAAACAUAAUAGUUACAACUUUCAACAACGGAUCUCUUGGUUCUGGCAUCGAUGAAGAACGCAGCGAAAUGCGAUAAGUAGUGUGAAUUGCAGAAUUCAGUGAAUCAUCGAAUCUUUGAACGCACAUUGCGCCCCUUGGUAUUCCAUGGGGCAUGCCUGUUCGAGCGUCAUUUGUACCUUCAAGCUCUGCUUGGUGUUGGGUGUUUGUCUCGCCUUGCGCGUAGACUCGCCUUAAAACAAUUGGCAGCCGGCGUAUUGAUUUCGGAGCGCAGUACAUCUCGCGCUUUGCACUCAUAACGACGACGUCCAAAAGUACUUUUUACACUCUUGACCUCGGAUCAGGUAGGGAUACCCGCUGAACUUAAGCAUAUCAAUAAGCGGA